rnacentral:rRNA from 1 species
AGUGAACGCUGGCGGUAAGCCUAACACAUGCAAGUCGAACGGCAGCACAGUAAGAGCUUGCUCUUACGGGUGGCGAGUGGCGGACGGGUGAGGAAUACAUCGGAAUCUACUUUUUCGUGGGGGAUAACGUAGGGAAACUUACGCUAAUACCGCAUACGACCUACGGGUGAAAGCAGGGGAUCUUCGGACCUUGCGCGAUUGAAUGAGCCGAUGUCGGAUUAGCUAGUUGGCGGGGUAAAGGCCCACCAAGGCGACGAUCCGUAGCUGGUCUGAGAGGAUGAUCAGCCACACUGGAACUGAGACACGGUCCAGACUCCUACGGGAGGCAGCAGUGGGGAAUAUUGGACAAUGGGCGAAAGCCUGAUCCAGCCAUACCGCGUGGGUGAAGAAGGCCUUCGGGUUGUAAAGCCCUUUUGUUGGGAAAGAAAAGCAGCAGGUUAAUACCCCGCUGUUCUGACGGUACCCAAAGAAUAAGCACCGGCUAACUUCGUG